rnacentral:antisense_RNA from 1 species
UUUCACACCUGGAUGUGCUCACUCAACCAAGAAUAUAGAGAAAGAGCUUCUGCCCUGAGACUCAGAAAAAUAUUCUCCUGUGCUUCGGUUCAGUAUAGAUUUCUAAACCCUGAUCAUUGCUUAAGAGAUAUUCACUGAGGUUGCUGAGACAAAGGAAAACCCACUCCCUUGGAGGAGCAUGACCUUUUCCUGUAAUUCUUCCCACUGCUGUUGUUGAGCUCCUUGGACCAUGGCUCCUGGACACCAUCAUCAAGAAGACUUUAUGGAUGGGCUGUCCACCCACUGAGAGAAGAGGAGCAUCAGCUACAGUUUCUCUCUAGAUUGCCUUCUUCAUUUUGAGUAAUGACUGUCAGCAGGGUCAGAUUAAAGACAAAACAACUGGACAAUUGCUUGGAGGACUAAACUAUAAGGGCACUAACAUAUCAAUAGUAUGCUAACACAUCCAUGGAAAAUAUAUUUACCAGCUCUUCUCUCAGGGAGGAUUCUGUGUGGGGUUGGAAGUAAUGAUUUGUUAAAUUCCUUAGGGGUAGAAAGUAGGGCAUAAUCAGAAUAUAGAGGAAUAGGCUGUUUGACUUCAGGGUUUCUGUUUUUCUUACUAGGAUAUAUAAAACAGGGACUCUAGCUAGAUUGUUUAUGACCACAGAGGGUAGGCUGAGCGCUCUCAUGAUCUUCCUGCUUGGUUCUUGCCCAUACAGAGGUCAGCCUUUCCUCUAAUAAAGAUUGAACAAGUAGUGGUCUGAGGGAGACACCAACUCAUUACCCUACAUGUCUCUUCUCUGCACUCCAGGGCUUUGAUAAUAAAGACACUGGCAGACUAUCUAUCUUCCAUUUCUAUAAUGUGAGCCCUUAGGGAGUCUUCGUUCACUUGGGGGUGAGGGUCAUUGCUCACAGAGUAGUUCAAGUCAAAUGGAACUUGAACUCUUUGCCUAUGGGCCUGGUGGUCAGACUCUGUGUUGAGUUCAUUAGAUUAUUGGAGACACAAGGUAGAGCUGGAUGCUUCAAAAAUAUUUGGCUAAAGGAUGACAUUGCUGGUUAUUUGUAGAUAAAGCCAUGAUGGAACCUGCUUGGAAUCAUGAAAUAUGGAACUGGUGGUCAUGUUUAAAAAUACAACUAAUAGUUAAGUACCUACUGGACACUGUAGAGACUUAGGGGCUAGACAGACAUGGUUCCUGCCCCCAUGGAGCUUACACUGUAGCUUCCCCUUAGGUAUGAAGAACAGUGGCUACAACUAACAAAUGGCCACAAAGAUAUAAUUGAGCCAGUGUUCCAAUUAUUAGGGUAAUUCCUAUUUCCUUAAUCAUGCCUAUUGACCAUGUUCUAUAAGCCUGCAUUCUAUAAAUGGCCUAUGACCAUGGGCUGUUUCCCCCCAGCAAGUUGUACAAAGUUCUGUGGUACCAGGGAAAGGGCUUAAGGUUAGCAGGGCCUCUGGGGAAGGACAUAUGAAGUGACUUGGGUUAGGAAACAGGAAGGGAUAGGAUUCAAGAACAGCUAUUGCUUCUGUUCUAUAUAGGAAACUGCAGCGUGAAAAAUGCUGGGCUGGGAAUUUUGAGACCUGGGUUUUAGUUUGUGUUCUAAUACUAACAAGCUAUGUGACUGUGGUUAAGUCAUUUCACAUUCCAUUUGGAUGCCUCUUGAGUGACUCCAGGCCUCUCCAGCUCUAAAACAUUGAGAUCAGGCCCUACGCUACAGCUGGCCAGUGUGUAGUUCUUCUGUUUCUAUGCUGUUAGGUCAAAUAGAUCUUCAAUAGUUACUUGAUUGUUAUUACUUUUUUCUGAAGUGGGUGUUUUAUCAGUGUUUUAGGAUACAGUGAGUCUGCUUCUCCCCUUUGGAGUUAGGAAGGUUGUAGGAAUAUACACUGUAGAGCAUAUGGGAGCUUUAUCUCCUCCUUUUUCCCCCCCUACCUUUCUCCCUCUCCUUCCCUUCGUCACAUUUCUAUUGAGCAUAUGCCAUUGCCGUGUACCAGGUGUGUGCUAGGUUUGGAGAUACAAGGUAAACUUGAGACUUUCCCAGCCUCCAGGAGACAAAACCCUAAUUUCUUUCAUCUGCUGUCUUUCUCUUUGGAAAGAAUCAACGAUAUCCCAGGGGAAUGUGCCCAUGUCCCAGGGUAACCAACUACAGACAGAUGCCCCAUUCUACUCAAGCAACUUUUAGAGUGCCUUGAGAUACACAUCAGAUAAUUAUGCAGGGCCAGGCAUGGUGGUGCACACUUGUAAUCACAGCACUUUGGGAGGCCGAGGCAGCAGAUUGCUUGAGCCCAGGAAUUCAAGUGUAGCCUAGGGAACAUGGCAAAACCCCAGCUCUACAAAAAAAUACACAAAUUAGCUGCGUGUGGUGGCCUAUGACAGGAGGCUGAGAUGGGAGGAUUGCUUGAGCCUGUGAGGUCGAGGCUGCAGUGAGCCGAGAUCAUGCCAUUGCACUCCAGCCUGGGUGACAUAGGGAGACCCUGUCUUGAAAAAAAAAAAAAAAAAAAGAUAAUUAUUCAGCCCUAGAGUCAUUGUGAAAAGAUCUAUCUUCAGAUAUAAGGAAGAAACAAUCUUUUAUUUCUUAGGAUAAAUCUGUAGAAGGACCUCCAGACAGUGAAGGCCACUGACUACUUUACACUCUGUAAGCCAUCCCUCCCUGGUAGGAAGGACUAUUUCCAAUCUUACAGAGUACCUCUCAGCAAAUAGACGUUUUCACAUAUACUGUGAUUCAUACAUCCCUAUGGCUGGUGACCUCUUUAAAAAGGAAAGGAAAAAGCCUAAUCAAACAAAAAGAUUCUUUUUUUUACAAUAUUACAAUUGUAAUUACAAUAGUAAUUCUUACCCUAUUGUGAAUCCUAUAUAAGCAAAUUUGUAUCUUUGUUUUUUCCCACAUUAGCAGAUCUAUUUGAUGUAUAUCUCUGAGUGCAGAAAAUAUUUUAUGGAAAAAUCAAUAUAUGGAAUUUCAAAUUCAGAAUUGCUGAUACACACUAUUUGGUUUCAGAAUUUUAUCCUAGGAAAUAGUAUUAGAGAUUUCAAUUUCUGGCUUAAAUGGUAGAAUUAAUUACUCUUAACUCUUAAUUUUACUUCUGAGUUGAGGUCAAGGAACAGGCAGACACCUCCAGUUAACGUCUAUACCUCUCCAUGGCCAAGAGUUUUAAUUUUCUCGUCUUCAGUUUUGUAGAUGUACAUCAUUACUAAAUGGAUUGAUUAGUAUUUUAUCUCCUCUCCUUGUCCUUACUUUCCCUCUGGUAAAUAUGUUAUAAACAGUGUAAGGCUCCUAAGAUAGAGUAGCUGGUAGGACUUAGAAGAGAAACAAAGGGCACUGAUAACUCACAUAAAUGGAAAAUUGGCUCUGGAAUAACUGACAACAUAUUCAAGUAUUUUAGUGCAGUGUCAUUCUCAUUAAGAAGAAGAGAACCAGUAAAUCUAUGUGACUCUAAACAUUCUAAUGAAAAAAGGAAUAUUCUGCCAAUUAUCUCACAUUUCUAAAUAUCUGGAUAUUGGCCAUCAUAAAGACAAAACAUACAGAUGAUGGACUUGUCUUUCCACCUCUCAUUUGCAUGGUUUGGAGCAUUGUACCUCCAGCCAUUGACUCUAAGGCAAUUUAUAUUUGCUUCCUCUUCCCUCUUGAGAGAAAACGAAAAUCUUAUUUUUCCAAGCAAUUAAAACUCUUCUGCUUCAGCUAGGAUGAAAGAAUUAGGAGUUCUGUCUCUUUGUAUCUAAUUGCAUGUUUCAUCUUUCUUGUUUUAAUGAUUGACAGAAAACUAAUAAACUGAGACAUCUUUGAAUCCAGGUUGAAUGUACUCUCUUGGUGGCCCCAUUGCUAAUUUGUUUGACUAUUUUGCAGGAUUUCUUACUCUGUAAUGGAAAGGUUUAUUAAAUAUGAGGGGUGCAAA